CGCAAACACUCUGGAGAGACCGGUUGAAUCCGGCGCCGAAGGGGCACAAGGCAGCAGUCCAUCGCUGCCUCCAAACUCUCAGGCAAAAGGACAGAGGGGCGCCC
rnacentral:ncRNA from 2 species